GCGGGGCUCGAGGCCGGGGCAGCGCCGGGAGGGCAGGGCCAGGAGGCUCCCUCCCUGCCUCCGGCUGCCGGGGCGCCGCGCUCCUCCGCUGCCCGCCGAGCUGCCCCGCGCCCCGCCCCGCGGCCGCCUCCUCCUCCGCCGAAGGGGCCGCGGCCCCGCGGGGGGCGGUGUGGGCCGGGCGUGGGCGGGCGGAGCGGUGGGCGCUGCCCCGGCGAGGGCCCGACUUGUGGUGCGGGCAGGAGCGGCCCGAGCUUGGCCCCGCUCUGCUGCUGUCCGCCUCCCGCCGGGCGCGGCAGGGCCCGAUGGCGGGCGGGCUGGGGCCGCGGCUGCUGGCCUUGGCCUUGGCCUUGGGGCCGGCAGGCGUGUGGGCACAGUGGAGGUUGAUGGUGUCUGGCGGAGGUCUGCGAGCACCUGGAGACUCCGUGCAUCUCUCCUGCCAGGGAUCUGGAUUCCCCUUUGGAAGUUAUCUUGUCUUGUGGUACCGUCAGGCACCCGGUGGCAGUCUAGAGUGGAUGUCCUACAUCAACUAUCAGGGUGGAAUAAAAACAUAUGGCAAAGCAGUGGAGGGCCGAGCCAGUGUCUCCCGGGACAAUUCCCAGUCCAAGUCUUCUCUUUCCCUGCGUGCCUUAGUACCCAAGGACUCUGCUCACUACUUCUGUGCAGUUCGCACAGGGACAGGAAACCCAGCUGAGCUUUAACACAAACCUGCUCCCAGGGUCCCUUCCCUUUUCUACAUGUAUUGCUGCCACAGAGAACCAGGAGGAGAAGCAAAACCAUAUUGUGCUGCGGAAGAGGGCAGAGAAUGCCUUCAGCUCAGCCCUUUCCCACUUUGCCUGUUAGGACACUUGGGAUCAACAGCAGUGUCAGGGGCAAAUGGCCAGGUCAGCUGGAGUGCAGCAAGAAGGGCUGCACAGGCUUGUUCAUGAGAGGAAGUGCCUAGUGCUACUCUUGGAUCCUAACAUCCCCGUUCUGUGGGAUUGAUGGAUGUAACAAUCCCAUUCAGGCUUGGGGAAGAGUGGAUAGAAAGUGUCCUGACAGAAAAGGAGGACCUGAGGGUUUUGUUUGACAGCCAGCUGAACACGAGCCAGCAGUGUGUCCCAUGGCCAAGAAGGCCAAUGGCAUCCUGACCUGCAUCAGAAACAGUGUGGCCAUCAGGACUAGGGAAGUGCUUGUCCUGCUUAAGCCCCAUUUUGAUGAUUUUGUGAAUCCUCCCUAUCACAUCACCCCAUGCCUUCUGCUCAGCGGCUGCAUCAGUCACUCCCUCACAGGGCUUCUGGUUAUUCUCUCCUUUUCCCCCUUCUUUAUAGUUUAAAGCCCUCCUCAGGAGGUCUGCCAUCCCCUCAGUAGGAACGUUUUUCCAUGCUGUGUGAGACUGGGGCAGCGUAAGGCAGCCAGGCUAGAAGCCUGUGGCUGCUGGUGUGACACACUCCUCUCCACUGCUCCCUGCCCACCUCCUUCUCCAACGGAAAAGGUUACAGGCCUGUGGGAGGCGAGAUGGACACUCAGUGGUAUGUUAUUUUUUAUCCUAUGCAUGACAGGAUUUGUUAGGUAAGGUUGAUGGUUGGACUUGAUGAUCUUACAGGUCUUUUCUAGUCUUAAUGAUUCUACAGUUCUGUGAUUUCCAUGCAUGUCACCAUCUGGGGAUGCAGGCUGAUUGUGAAUGACUAUAGCAUCUCAUGAUACCAGCAGGCACACAGGUCCAAAUUCCUGUGUGAUGCACCAGUAGAGGGGUGUCCAGGGAUUCUUUCAGACUGUGUGACUACUCAAGCAAUCCCUCAUUACAAGUCAGCCAUAUCCUGGUUUUGGCCAGGAUAGAGUUAUUUUUCCAUCCAAUAAUCGGGUAGGGAGGUGUGUUUUGGACCUAUGAUGAAAAUUAUGGUGAUAACAAAAUGAUGUUGUAAUUGUUGGAGAGCAUUCAUUAAAAGAAGGAAAGAAAGAAA